AGAAAAUAAAUUUAUUUUUAAUUCCAACAAAAAUAAUUUACAAAAACAUUUGUAAAUUUAGUUAUUAAAUUUAUGUGCGUCGCAUAUUUAUUUAAUUUAGCAUUCAAAGCAUUUUUGCGAGCAUUUAGUCAGCAAACCCUGAAGAAUUAUUACAGUUUUCAUAGUAUAACCCGGAAGACUUUAUUUUAUUAUAUUUAAUUUCUCCACCAAAUUUCCCACAUCUACCUACUCUUCCACCUACUCCCUCCUUUUUGAAAAGUUAUCAUCACUACCCACUCCCACCACCAACUCCCUGCAAAAAUCAUGCAGUAGCACACCCACUGAUAUACUUCACCCAUCCCCUUCCACUUCUACUCAAUCUCCCACCCACUUCUCACAAAUCCCUCGCAAAAACGAAUGGAAACUCAACUUCAGGAGCAAGCUUUUUCAGAAUGUACAUCAAGCUCAUCUCCCUCACCUAUUUUCAGCACACACAAUUGAGCAUCCCUCUCGAUCAAGGCUUUGAGCAUCAAGGGGAUUAGCACUGCUUUCCCAAGACAGGUUAUGUGAUUAUGAUCUUCAGGCUUUGCCUAUCCAGGUUGAGCAGUUGAUGGAAUGGAAUGAUGUUGAGCGGGUGUUCCUUUGACAUUUCAAGAAAUGUAACCUUGAGUAUACAUCUUCAUAUGUAUAUCUCACACGUUUUCGCUGCAAAACACUUUGAUUAGGAUAACUCUAUGUUAUGAAGUUGUUACACGUGUUAUUGGGUAACCCACCUUAAUCAGUUCUCUUUUAUGUGUAUGUUUUAUAAGUAUCCAAAUGAUCAUAUAUGAUCCUAGCUUUUUAUCUAUAAGUGACAUUUUCAUAUA